rnacentral:circRNA from 1 species
AAAAAGUUGCCUUUGACAACACUGGCUCAGUGUCUGAUGGAGGGGUCAGCUAUCCUGGGAGAUGACACACUUCUUGGGAAGAUGCUGAAACUCUGUGGAGAGACGGAGGACAAGCUGGCUCAGGAGCUGAUACAUUUUGAGUUGCAAGUAGAGAGAGACGUGAUUGAGCCCCUGUUUUUGCUGGCGGAGGUGGAAAUCCCAAAUAUUCAAAAGCAGAGGAAACACUUAGCCAAGUUGGUGCUGGACAUGGAUUCCUCACGAACCAGGUGGCAGCAGACUUCCAAGUCUUCAGGUUUGUCCAGCAGCUUACAGCCUGCGGGUGCCAAGGCUGAUGCCCUCAGGGAAGAAAUGGAAGAGGCUGCCAACAGAGUGGAGAUUUGCAGG